UACAGAGGUCCCGAGCGUUAGGCGGAAUCACUGGGCUUAAAGCGUGUGUAGGCGGACUUCUAAGUACCUUGUGAAAUCCCACGGCUUAACCGUGGAACUGCUUGGUAUACUGGUUGUCUUGGGCCAUCUAGGGGCUACUGGAACAAACGGUGUAGCGGUGAAAUGCGUAGAUAUCGUUUGGAACGCCAAUGGUGAAAACAAGUAGCUGGGGAUGUGCCGACGCUGAGACACGAAAGCCAGGGGAGCGAACGGG
rnacentral:rRNA from 1 species